rnacentral:rRNA from 1 species
AGCAGUGGGGAAUAUUGGACAAUGGGCGCAAGCCUGAUCCAGCAAUGCCGCGUGGAUGAAGAAGGUUUUCGGAUUGUAAAGUCCUUUCGGCGGGGACGAUGAUGACGGUACCCGCAGAAGAAGCCCCGGCUAACUUCGUGCCAGCAGCCGCGGUAAUACGAAGGGGGCUAGCGUUGCUCGGAAUGACUGGGCGUAAAGGGCGCGUAGGCGGAUUUGUCAGUCGGGCGUGAAAUUCCUGGGCUUAACCUGGGGGCUGCGUUCGAGACGGCGGGUCUGGAGUGGGGAAGAGGGUCGUGGAAUUCCCAGUGUAGAGGUGAAAUUCGUAGAUAUUGGAAAUAACACCGGUGGCGAAUGCGCGCGACCUGGUCCUUGACUGACUGUGAGG